rnacentral:rRNA from 1 species
CAGUCGCCGCGGUAACACCGAGGGUGCGAGCGUUAAUCGGAUUUACUGGGCGUAAAGCGUGCGUAGGCGGCUUUUUAAGUCGGAUGUGAAAUCCCUGAGCUUAACUUAGGAAUUGCAUUCGAUACUGGGAAGCUAGAGUAUGGGAGAGGAUGGUAGAAUUCCAGGUGUAGCGGUGAAAUGCGUAGAGAUCUGGAGGAAUACCGAUGGCGAAGGCAGCAAUCUGGCCUAAUACUGACGCUGAGGUACGAAAGCAUGGGGAGCAAACAGGAUUAGAUACCCCCGUAGUCCCUGUCUCUUAUAC